rnacentral:rRNA from 1 species
GACGAACGCUGGCGGCGUGCUUAACACAUGCAAGUCGAACGAAGAGCGAUGGAAGCUUGCUUCUAUCACUCUUAGUGGCGAACGGGUGAGUAACGCGUAAUCAACCUGCCCUUCAGAGGGGGACAACAGUUGGAAACGACUGCUAAUACCGCAUACGAUCUAAUCUCGGCAUCGAGGAUAGAUGAAAGGUGGCCUCUACAUGUAAGCUAUCACUGAAGGAGGGGAUUGCGUCUGAUUAGCUAGUUGGAGGGGUAACGGCCCACCAAGGCGAUGAUCAGUAGCCGGUCUGAGAGGAUGAACGGCCACAUUGGGACUGAGACACGGCCCAGACUCCUACGGGAGGCAGCAGUGGGGAAUCUUCCGCAAUGGACGAAAGUCUGACGGAGCAACGCCGCGUGAGUGAUGACGGCCUUCGGGUUGUAAAGCUCUGUUAAUCGGGACGAAAGGCCUUCUUGCGAAUAGUGAGAAGGAUUGACGGUACCGGAAUAGAAAGCCGCGGCUAACUACGUG